UGCACACGGAGACCAGGCUAAGCGGAAAGCACGCAUGCUGGGAGACAAGCCAAAGGCUGGGAGCUGGCAGGAGAACACAUACUGUAGGCAGCACACACAGGUGGCACAGCCCCGCGGGAGGCUGGGAAAACAGAGCGUGGAACAGGAAAAAACAAAGUCCAGGGGCGCCGUCCAGGAACAUAGCAGAUCUACUAAAUUAAAGAACAGACGAAGUGGCGUGUCAGGUGAAGCAAUCCUUACCACUGAGGCCGUUUCCACUUGAUGUCCGUGUCCAUGCAGUGGGUGUGCUGGAUAGGCCGCUGGAUAGCACUGUUGUGUAGUGGCACUGGAAAAGCCACUGAUGCCCCAUAAAAGCUCUCCAGGAGAUAAGGAACGAAGAAUCUGGUGUACGUGAAAAGAAACAUAAGAAAGGUUAAAAACUGAAGGACAUCAUCCAGUUCAAUCAGUAUCUUUCAUUUCUGAAUAUUUGAAUCCAAUUCCGUUAUAAUCUCCUGUGUUGAAGAAUAAAGCAAAGCUGUUCCUUUUGGCUGUCCAUGG